GAGUUUGAUCCUGGCUCAGGACGAACGCUGGCGGCGCGCCUAACACAUGCAAGUCGAACGAGAGAUGAGGAGCUUGCUCUUCAAAUCGAGUGGCGAACGGGUGAGUAACGCGUGAGGAACCUGCCUCAAAGAGGGGGACAACAGUUGGAAACGACUGCUAAUACCGCAUAAGCCCACGGUACCGCAUGGUACUGAGGGAAAAGGAUUUAUUCGCUUUAGGAUGGACUCGCGUCCAAUUAGCUAGUUGGUGAGGUAACGGCCCACCAAGGCGACGAUUGGUAGCCGGACUGAGAGGUUGAACGGCCACAUUGGGACUGAGACACGGCCCAGACUCCUACGGGAGGCAGCAGUGGGGGAUAUUGCACAAUGGGGGAAACCCUGAUGCAGCGACGCCGCGUGGAGGAAGAAGGUUUUCGGAUUGUAAACUCCUGUCGUUAGGGACGAUAAUGACGGUACCUAACAAGAAAGCACCGGCUAACUACGUGCCAGCAGCCGCGGUAAUAC
rnacentral:rRNA from 1 species